GUUUUCGCGGGAAAUUGCGUCCAUACGUCACUCGUCUCGUCAUAUCCAUAGGUUAGUUGUAACAACGAGCGCGAAAGUUUGAUUUGGAGCUCGUUAAAUGUCGAACCUCCAGGGAAUCAUCCGUUUUAAACAAACGCCGAACAGAGGAGAGUCUGCUGACCAAAAGAAAAGGCGACAAAGCUCUUAAUACAGCAAGAAUCAAAGUCGGGUUGGCUUUUCGGGAUUUGAAAUGUUGUAAAAGCAACGUUUUUAUUACUCAACUGAUUGAUGAUGUCAGCUGAAAUAGAAAGUCAUUUCAGAAGUGGAAUGAGUUAAUUCAUUUUGAUGAAAGAUUUAAGAGUGCACCUCAACCUGACACGCAUGGAAUAUCAACCGCGGCUGAACAAAGCUGCCUCGCACGUGCAUGCAAAGGUGUCUCGCUCCUCCUUAGAAGCACUUCUGCCAAGGUGCUGCUCAUGUGAAAUGAAUGUUUAUCAGUAAGUCUAUUUAAGCGAUGGUGACCAGCGAUUUCUACAGGAGAUGCACUGUUGGAUGCGAGCUUGGCCCGGUGCCCGGACGCUCUUUACCACCCUCACCGCAUCGCCCUGUAUGUGAGAUCGCAUUAGGAGGGCGAAAACAAGACACUAAAAGCCCAUCAUGCAGUGCACGCAGCAGCCAUCGAGGGUUGAUAAAGAAAUGCUGCUCGCUCGGGGUACCUGGAAAUGGGCAGUAAAGUCUGACAGGUCAGACAUCAUGUGAUGGCCUAUUAUUAAAUGUUUGCGUCAUGAAAAACAGUAAAUUGCUUUGUUGCAGAGGGUGGGUUGUUAUACUUUAGGCUAUGUGUAGUCCAUUAAAAAGAACAUUUUUAAGAUUCUGUUCAAAGAAAAACUGCUGUGCUUUUUUGUCUUUUUUUGGAGCUUGACAUAUUGCUCAUUAUGAACUGCCAUUGCAUGGGGAAAACAGUGUAAAGGCACGUUCACACCAGGAGCAAUAACUAUAUUAGCGUCCACACCAAUGCAGGAUAA